rnacentral:rRNA from 1 species
UACGGAGGGGGCGAGCGUUAUUCGGAAUCAUUGGGCGUAAAGGGCGCGUAGGCGGCCCGGUAAGUCAAAGGUGAAAUCCCUCGGCUCAACUGAGGAACUGCCUUUGAAACUGUCGGGCUUGAGGCCGGGAGGGGGUGGCGGAAUUCCCAGUGUAGCGGUGAAAUGCGUAGAUAUUGGGAGGAACACCAGUGGCGAAGGCGGC